GACGGAAAACUUCAUCAAUGCGUGUAAGCUUGAAUUAACGUUUUUGAAAUGGCGCGUAGGAAUACAUAUAUGUAAGAAUGAAAACAACAACAAAACGGCAUGGCUGUGCGUUUAGGUCAGGAACCGUUACUGUGCAGAUUUAAAUGGAUUAUACGCCAAAUUAAAGGUGCAAUGGUUAAAAGCUGAAUUAAAUAUGAAGGAAGAUAACAAGUGGUGACUGGAUUUAUGCUGCAUUGUGUUGGAGGAGACGUUGAACGCUGGUUGUGUCGUUAGAACGGUGGAAUGCAACUCGGCUCCAUUUCAAUAUUGAGUAAAAAGUUCAACACCUCUUCAUCUAAAACGCACUCGUUGACUGAGCCCCAUAUAACGCAGUUCAAUUUCAUUAAUAUUUACCAGAUCAGAAGUCGCCACUUGCUCCGUCAUGUUAUCGAUCUCGUAAAGCAUACGAUUCAUACCGGGAACUCGUGUAAUCUGUCUACUUCUACCAACAUCAACACAUACUAUAAAGUAGGAGGAUUGCUUAAUAUUUGCACCGACCUUUGCACCUCAUGGGAGGUAAGGUUAAUUGUAGAAAUGUUGUAAGUUUUACUAUAAAUUCAGUAUUUCACUUGCAAAUUGUUAAAGGAUUUAUAGUCAGUUUUCUUUUUGUUCAAUUCAUGUACUUUAGCAGUUUAGCAUGAAUUAUCUAUUAUUUAGAAUUUAUUCAGUUUGUGUAUAUCAUAAACUCUUUACUAUGAUAAGCUUAUUCAUGCUAAGCUUAGGGAAAGAUUAUUGAUUCAAGAAAUUAUUGUAAUUCAUAAUUUCUAUGUAUUUUAACCUCUCUUUUAAUAUUUUGAUAAGGACCUUGAUUGUAAAAUUCUUAUGCAGAGUUAUUGUUCUUGUAUUCAUAACUUUAAUUGUAUUUCAGGGUCACGCAACAAUAAUUUUUUUAGGUACAUCACCACAAUAGGGUCUGUAAGUCUCGUCAUGUGAUUGCCGAGAAUUAGCGAGAUUAUUAACUUCCGGGUACAUCAACAUCUCAGAUUGCACUGACCUGUGUAGAGAGUGGUAUACAUAGAUAUAGCGUUAUCAAUCGAUUAUGUGGAAGUUUAACGAGAUAAACAUGGGAAUUGAAGCAUUAGUGGAGUGGUCGAGGAUUCUUCGCUUCGUGUUUGACGAAUUACGUGUAAUAACCGCCAGUGUACAAGCAUCGACGAGGGUACGUCUUGCAGAUAAAGAGCAGAUAUGCCUUGAAUCUGAGGAUAAAGGUGUUGUGUAUUGUGCAGUCAUCAUUAAUGUGGAUGUCUGAUGCCAGUAUGCUCAUAGUGGGGCAGUAUAAGUGUCGAUCUUCAUAUGGCAGCAAAUUUUCAAAGGCAGAUAUAAGAAGGCAAAUAAAACUGUUCAAUGUAAAAUACGCCAGUAGUUGGAUAAAACAUCCAAAGUCGGCAGUCAAAGGUCACAACAACAAUGGAGGAAUUAACUGCAUCCUCAUUCCGCAGGGCAACAGGCCAUUUUCAGCAACCCCUGAAAUUCUUAAUUGAGGCUAAGUGCCCAUUUUCAGCUCGAACAAUGACAAUUAAAGAGGCCUGUGCAAAUGUUGGGAUUUCCCUCUUGAAUGUGAUGUAAGAGAUGGUUCACUGCCCAUUAAAACAAAAUAUGAAUAUUGGCAUCAGAUUCAAGGACAACAACACCUGAAAGACACCCAAUGCUGUGAUUUGCUAGUGUGGAUUCCUAGUGACACUCAAAUACAUUGACAAAGAUGUAUUAUGGUCAACUUUUUAAGCGUGAUAGAGUUUAAUUAUAAUAAUAAAGUAUUUUUGCAGUCUAGAACACACACACAUAACCACAUGUACAUAUACUUUAUUAUGAUAUCAGUGGUGCAUCUAUCAAAGUUAUGUAAUUACAAGUAUAUUUAUUGAAUAAACAUUAUAGACAGAGUUUUUCUUAUUUUAGAUGAACCAAAAUUUGUAUAGACAUAGUGUCCAGCUUUACGAAAAUCAUUGAAUUACAUGCAUUCACUAAAAACAAUGGAUUUUACUUCUUUUUUAAUAAUGCAGAUUUGAAAACCUUCAG